AACGAACGCUGGCGGCAUGCCUAACACAUGCAAGUCGAACGAGACCUUCGGGUCUAGUGGCGCACGUGUGCGUAACGCGUGGGAACCUGCCCUUAGGUUCGGAAUAACUCACCGAAAGGGGUGCUAAUACCGGUUAAUGUCUUCGGACCAAAGAUGUAUCGCCUUUGGAUGGGCCCGCGUUGGAUUAGCUAGUUGGUAGUGUAAAAGCCUACCAAGGCGACGAUGCAUAGCUGGUCUGAUAGGAUGACCAGCCACACUGGGACUGAGACACGGCCCAGACCCCGACGGAAGGCAGCAGUGGAGAAUAUUGGACAAUGAGCGAAAGCCUGAUACAGCAAUGCCGCGUGAGUGAUGAAGGCCUUAGGGUUGUAAAGCUCUUUUACCCGGGAUGAUAAUGACAGUACCGGGAGAAUAAGCUCCGGCUAACUCCGUG
rnacentral:rRNA from 1 species